rnacentral:lncRNA from 1 species
GAUUUAUAUACAUGAGGUGAAGGAAGAAAAAAGGAAACUAAUCUUCUAAAUUUGGAAGUAAAUUGUUCUACCAAAAAAUACGAGAUUGCAAUCUCUAAUUAAUUCUAAUUACCAUAACUACCUCCUUUACUAUAUUCGGUCCUUUCUACACUCCCCCUCAAGUUGAACUGUAGAUGUUGAUCAUGUUCAACUUGCUGAUAAAGUCGUGGAAUGCUUGUCUGGGCAAUCCUUUUGUGAAUACAUCGGCCGUUUGUUCUUUUGUAGGAGUAUAUGUCAUACAAAUAAUCCCGUUGUCGACCUUUUCUUUGAUGAAAUGUCUGUCAACUUCUAUAUGUUUAGUUCUAUCAUGUUGUACUGGGUUGAGCGAAAUGUUAAUAGCUGCUUUGUUAUCACAAUAGAGUUUAAUUGGAAGUUCUACUUCAACUUUCAAUUCUCCCAAGAGCUUCUUUAUCCAAAGUCCUUCACAUAUUCCUUGUGCAACAGCUCUGAAUUCAGCCUCAGCACUGCUUCUAGCUACCACAUUUUGUUUCUUACUUCUCCAGGUUGUCGUAUUUCCCCAUACAAAGGUGCAGUAGCCGGUAGUAGACCUUCUAUCUUCCGUUGAUCCAGCCCAAUCUGCAUAUGUGAAUAUUUCUACUCCUUUACUCUUAUUUUUCCCGAAGAAUAGACCUCUUCCAGAUGUUCCCUUUAGGUAUCUAAGAAUUUUAUAAACUGCUUCUAGACGAAUUUCUUUGGGAGCCUGCAUAUGUUGACUGACCACACUGACUGCGAAAGCAAUAUCAGGUCUAGUGUGUGAGAGGUAGAUCAAUUUUCCAACUAGUCUUUGAUAUUUGUCCAUUUCCACGGGUUUUCCGGUGUCCUUUAUCACUUUCCCCGCCUCAAUAGGUGUAUCGCUUGGUUUGCACCCCAACAUACCUGUUUCAGCCAACAGGUCAAGAAUGUAUUUUCGUUGGGAAACGCUGAUACCUUUCUUUGAUCUUGCAAUCUCCAUUCCCAAGAAGUAUCGCAUUUGCCCAAGGUCUUUUACCUCAAAUUCAGUUGCUAGGCACUUCUUUAGUCUUUCCAUUUCACCUAUGUUGUCCCCUGUCAAGAUAAUAUCAUCCACAUACACAAUAAGGAUGGUCUUUACUCCUCUGGAUAGAUGAUAGAACAUGGUAUGGUCUGACUGCCCUUGUUGAUAUCCUUGAGUUUUCAAUACCUUUGCAAAUCUAUCGAACCAUGCUCUGGGUGACUGUUUAAGCCCAUAUAAAGAUUUCCUGAGCUUACAUACUCGACUUUCCUCAUUUGAAUUGUUGAAGCCCGAUGGUAUUGUCAUGAAUACUUCUUCUUCUAGUUCCCCAUUGAGAAAUGCGUUUUUAAUGUCCAACUGUUGAAGUGGCCAAUCUAGGUUUACUGCUAAUGACAGAAGAACUCGGAUUGUAUUUAAUUUAGCCACUGGUGCGAAUGUUUCUGUAUAGUCAAUGCCAUAGGUUUGAGUAUACCCUUUGGCAACUAAACGAGCUUUGUAGCGUUCAAUCGUCCCAUCUGCCUUGUACUUCACGUUAAAAACCUAUUUGCACCCUACAGGUUUCUUUCCUUUUGGCAGGUUUACCACUUCCUAAGUUUCAUUUUUCUUUAAGGCUUUCAUUUCCUCCAUCACUGCCUCUCUCCAUUUGGGUGAUUCCAAGGCUUCUUGAAUAUUUUUUGGAAUUUCUGUUUCAUCAAGAUUAGCAGUAAAAGCACGAAAUUCAGUAGAUAGAGCAUUAUAAGACAUGAAUUUUGAGAUAGGAUGUAGAGUACAUGAUCGGGUUUGUUUUCUGAGAGCAAUAGGUAGAUCAUCACUUGGAUCGAGGGGAUUUUCAUCAGUUCCUCUCACCGGUUCGAACUCUUUUGGUGCUUCAGGCAUGAGAGGUUCCUUACACUUCGAUUUAGGCCUUGUUGAGUAAACUAGGGUCUCUUUAUCACUCUCUGUUUUCCUUCAUCUCUCCCUGAAUUCAAGUUAUCUUCUGUGUAUGACACCUUAGAAGGGUUAGGGAACGUGAAAUCAGUUGGGGAAAGUUAUCUUCUGUGUAUGACACCUUAGAAGGGUUAGGGAACGUGAAAUCAGUUGGGGAAAGGUCAAAGUCCAGGAACUCGUUAUUUGAGAACUGAUCUUCACUCAAGUUCUCCCCCUGAAGAGAAGGUUUCAGGAAGUAAGGUGUGUUUUCGAAAAAACUGACAUCAAGGCUAACUAUGACUCUUUUCCCAGAUGAGUCAUAGCAUUUGUACCCUUUUUGAGUAGGUGAGUACCCAAUAAACACACAUUUGAUAGCACGUGGUUCAAGUUUGUUUCAAUUUUGAGAGUGAAUAUGUACAAAUGCAGUGCUGCCAAAUAUUUUUAGAGGUAGGUUUGAACUAAGGCAGGAAGUAGGGAAGUAUUUUUGGAGCCUUUGUAAGGGUGAGUCGAAGGAGAGCGUCCUACUAGGCAACCGGUUAAUUAGGUAAGUAGAUGUUAAAAUGGAAUCCCCCCAGAAUGUUUUUGGCAUGUUCAUAGUAAACAUUAAGGCACGAUCAACUUCUAGUAUGUGUCUAUUUUUCCGUUCAGCAAUCCUAUUUUGUUGGGGGGUAUGGACGCAUGAGCUUUGAUGGACAAUUCCGUGUUUUUUUAGGUAAUCUUGCAAAGUAGCAUUGAAAUAUUCCGUGCCAUUAUCGGUACGGAGGAUUUGAAGUUGUGUUUGAAAUUGUGUCAAUAUCAUGGAGUGGAAGUUCAUAAAGACAGAUCUAACAUCAGUUUUGUCUUUCAAUAAAUAAACCCAACAGACUCGAGUGUGGUCAUCAAUAAAUGUAAUAAACCAUUUUGUUUGGGUACGAUUAGGAGUGCGGGAUGGUCCCCAUAGAUUACUAUGAAUCAUAGCAAAUGGUUUAGAUGGUUUGUACUCAUGUUUUGGAAAAAAUGUACGCUGAUGCUUUGCAAAUUCACAAUUUUCACAUUGAAAGUCAAUAGAUAUUUUAUUCAUGAAAAUUGAAGGACAAAUAUGUUUUAAAUAUUGCAAGCUAGGAUGACCCAUUCUAUUGUGCCAUAACAAAAUUUCACUAUCCUUAGAGGUAGAUGAAGAAUUACAACUUGAAAUUUGACCUAGUGUACUCACGUCAGCUUCGUCGAAGUAGUAAAGUCCCUCGCAUUCCUUAGCACUGCCAAUCGUCUUCCCCGAUGAAAGGUCUGAAAGACACAAUAUGAUGGAAAGAAAUUAACAGAACAAUUGGAUUUUUUUGCUAAUUGACUAACAGAUAACAAGUUACAUGACAAAUUUGGGACAUAAAGGACUGAAUCCAAUGUUAGGGAAUUAGAUAUUCGAAUGUUCCCUUUUCCUGCAACAGAUGAAAGUGAGUCAUCUGCAAUUUUAAUUCGAAUGUUACCAGGACAAGUAGAAUAUGAAGAGAAUAGGUAAUACGAGUCCGUCAUGUGACCGGAUGCACCGGAGUCAAUGAUCCAAGCAUUUUUGUAUCGUAAAGUAUUUAAUGCUCUAAGAAAAGUACCUUUGUGGGCUAGUAAGCUAGAAGGACCUUUAGGGGAAGACUGAUCGGAUGUUUGAAAUUUUGAGAAUAUUUAAUAGAGUUGCUCAGUUGCUCGGGAUUAAAUGCACUACCUGAGACCGGAUUGUUUUUUGUUUCAACUUGAUAACCCCGACUCCUCAUGGUUUGUCUUGAUUUCCAUUCGUUGGGUUUCCCAUUAAUUUCCCAACAUGUGUCUAUUUUAUGGCCCGGCCUACGACAAUGCUCACACCAAGGACGACCCCUUUGUUUUUGGGUCGACCCAUUUGUAGAUCCCUUUGAAAAACUCGAAAUUCCACCUCCAAUUGAAGGUCCAUUAAUAUGCUCAGUUUCUGGCCCAACUGCCGGCCCAAUUAAUUUCCCACGUCCAGGCCCAGACGUUAUACCAUACGGAGGUCCAGCCUUCUUCCCAGCCAAGGCCGAUACUUCACCAGAGGCCUCCUUCAACAUUACCUGCCGGCGAGCCUCCUCACGGCGCACCUCCGAAAACACCUCGCGAGUGGACGGCAGUGGACGACGACCUAGGAUUCGGCCUCUGACUUCAUCCAGUUCUCGAUUCAGACCUGCAAGAAAUUCAUAGACUCGUUCGUUUUCCUGCUUCUUUUUGUAUAACGCGAUAUCAUCAGGGCACUUCCACUCCUCUUCACUGCUUAGGUCGAGAUCUUGCCAGAGAGAUGUCAUGUCCAUGAAGUAUUCAGUGACAUCUCUCGUCCCUUGUUUAGUCUGCCAUAAGCGAGUUUUUAAUUCAAAAAUUUGCAAUGCAUUACCGGCGUCCGAGUAGGUGUCUUUCACGGCGUCCCAUACGUCUUUUGCCAUCGCAAGGAAUAGGUAGGCUUUUCCUAUAGAAGGUUUCAUAGAGUUCACAAGCUAGGCUGUUACCAUGGAAUUUUCAGAGUUCCAACGUUGCAGCAGGGUGGUGUUUGUCGGCCUCUUCGCUUCUCCAGUAAGAUAACCCAUCUUCCCCUUUCCAUCAAUUACUAAUUUUAUCGAUUGGGCCCAUUCGCGGUAGUUUUUUCCAUUCAAUUUUUCGACAGUAAGUUGGAACGAUGAAUUCUCGAAUGAGUUGUGACCAAUUGAGGAAUUGACCUCUGUUUCGGUAUCUGACAUUGUAGAUGCCUGCAUGUUAGCGGGGAAUUCCGCCAUGGUUUGCUAGGUUAGAGAACCAGCUCUGAUACCAUAAAGAAGAUACACACGUGAGAGGAAAUUCUCACUUUUUUUGUAUUCACAAUAUUGAUUACAAUCGAUUUAUAUACAUGAGGUGAAGGAAGAAAAAAGGAAACUAAUCUUCUAAAUUUGGAAGUAAAUUGUUCUACCAAAAAAUACAAGAUUGCAAUCUCUAAUUAAUUCUAAUUACCAUAACUACCCCCUUUACUAUAUUCGGUCCUUUCUACACAAACGAAGGUAGUGAACUGUUGCGUCGAAACUUACUUAAGGUGUUUUACCUAUGACAAACCUCGUAGUUGGUACACAUGGUUGUCUUGGGCAGAAUAUUGGUAUA